rnacentral:rRNA from 1 species
UACGGAGGGUGCAAGCGUUAUCCGGAUUCACUGGGUUUAAAGGGUGCGUAGGUGGGCAGGUAAGUCAGUGGUGAAAUCUCCGGGCUUAACCCGGAAACUGCCAUUGAUACUAUCUGUCUUGAAUACCGUGGAGGUGAGCGGAAUAUGUCAUGUAGCGGUGAAAUGCUUAGAUAUGACAUAGAACACCAAUUGCGAAGGCAGCUCACUACACGAAUAUUGACACUGAGGCACGAAAGCGUGGGAUCAAACAGG